ensembl:lncRNA
GGAGAAAUAACACUGGGUUACUCAAAUGAGAGACUGGAAACAUAACAUUCAAUUAAAUAACUUUAUUGAAACAAAUUAAUGAAUAAGUUAGUCAAAUUAGUUCUCAACAAGUAGUAAGCUUUUUAUCGUUUCACUUUUAGAAACCAAAUCAGGUGUGAAUUAGUAAAUAAAAACUCUAAAAAUCAUCAUUAUUCCAUUGGUAACUUCAUCAAUCAUUGAAAUUGCAUGGAAGACAUUUUGUUAGCAUUAUUUUAUUGCUUCGACGUUGUGUUAAUGUCCUUAUAACAAUGUUUCCUUUCAUUAGAGGGAUUUAAAGAAGUGAGGGAGGAUGGAUGGAAUGUUGUAAUGGCAGCAAGUCAGAGGGCCCGUCCCAAAUGGCAUCCUAUUCCCUAUAUAGUGCACUACUUUUGAGCAGGGCCCAUCAGGCUCUGGGUCAACAGUAGUGCACCACAAGGAAUAGGGUGCCAUUUGGGAUGAAGGCAGAGUGAGUGGUGUGAUGGAAUCGGUAAAGGUACAGAAAGAGAAGUACAUGCAGGAGAAGACUUGAGAUUGGAUCAUGCAUAGCAUUCGUGUCGAUUAGAAUAUCAGAGAUGUGCGGAUCUCAGUUCCUAUAGAUGCUAACGCCCCGUUAGAGGUGGCCAGGGCUCUGAGGUAGUUGUGUGGAAGCCAUAUGAUCUACGUGACCAUGCGUAUGAAGGGACAGUAAUGUCACUGUGUGACGCUCAAGGUCAUGCCUCCUGUCACAGUUUAAAAUUGGACAGAAUUUAAAUACAUAAGAGUUGCAAUGGUUACAUUUUAAAAAAUGUGCAAUUGACACGUUCAUCCCAGUCUUGUGGGACAAAUAACAUGUUGCUGUGUAAUAAAGGGACUGAGAUCACAAAGGAAAAUAUACAUUCCCUCAAACCAGUAGUUAUAUUUGUGUGAUGUAAUAUGUAGCACAUGGUUCUGUAAUCUAGCCACUCAACACCAUUGGCAGGAAGACCCAGAGGACCCCAUUCAUGUCACUCAGAGAAGAAAAUAUAAAGAUAUUCAACUCCAGAGACUAACACAUUUCAUGCGACACAACGGUUUAAUAUAGAUUCAUGUGUACUGUGUUGCUCAGAAUGAACAAUGAAUUGGUUGGACUUUCAAUCUGAUGUCAUUUGGGUUGUAGUUUAGGACAAUAAGAAAAAUCUAUUUACCAUCCAACAAUACAGUGCCUUAAUGAACGUGUUGUUGCCAACGUACUGUAACAAAAGCACCUGAUUGUGCCAUUGAGUUAAAACUCCCAAGAGUAAAAUGUUUCUCAGAAUCUCCAGUCGCUUUGAAUGGAACAUUUAUGCACCUGAAUCAACUAACUGCUGGCUUGAUUGAACCAAAUUAACUUGUCCAAGCCUCUCAUGGGGCCAUAGACUUUCUUGCACUGGCUGAAAACAGAACUGUGAUUCUGAGAAAAAUAAAAUGUCCUCCAUUGUUAGGGCAGGAUGCAAUUAUGGAUAACGACAGUCAAAUCAAUAGUUGAGCUCUGGGAAUUGUUGUAUAACGUGUGUGUGUGUGUGAGUGAGUGAGUGAGUGAGUGAGUGAGUGAGUGAGAGAGAGAGAGAGAGAGAGAGAGAGAGAGAGAGAGAGAGAGAGAGAGAGAGAGCGAGAGAGAGAGACAUUCUCUAACUGGGAACAGUCACAUGUGUCUUUGAUUAGACAAAAAUGCUACAUUUAUUUGAAGAUUUUAAAGAUAUCAUAUCACAAACAAUGGGACACAAAUAGUGACUGAAAUCUUACAUUCACUUUAAACAAUCAAAAGCAUUAAAAAAACACAAUCAUAGAAAUGUGACAUGUUCUUCUAGCUCUCAGAGGAGAAACAGUGGAGGUAUGAACAAAUAAGAUAAAAAAAUCAACACAACUUGAAACAAAUGGCAGACAAAAAACAUCGAAAUAGGACACCUUUUCUGAUUAGGUUUAUUUCUGGAUCCUCUUCAGGUGCCAUAGUGUCCACUACAGUGUUCUCCAGUUCUGUCCAUUAGAAACACAUUCCAUACAGUAUCUCUAUGAGCGAACCAUUGUUUAGGGUCAGUAAACCAUAAACAUAUGGCUAAAGUGGACAAGCUAUUCUAGAUAACGCAAGAGGGGCUUCUGCAUUGAAUUCUGUCAGGGUAAGAGGGGAAUUCUGUCAGGGUUAGAGGUGAAAUCUGUCAGGGUUAGAGGUGAAUUCUGCCAGGGUAAGAGGUGAAAUCUGUCAGGGUUAGAGGUGAAAUCUGUCAGGGUUAGUGGUGAAAUCUGUCAGGGUUAGAGGUGAAUUCUGUCAGGGUUAGAGGUGAAUUCUACCAGGGUUAGAGGUGAAUUCUGCCAGGGUAAGAGGUGAAUUCUGCCAGGGUUAGAGGUGAAAUCUGUCAGGGUUAGUGGUGAAAUCUGUCAGGGUUAGAGGUGAAUUCUGCCAGGGUUAGAGGUGAAUUCUACCAGGGUUAGAGGUACAUUCUGUCAGGGUUAGAGGUGAAAUCUGUCAGGGUUAGAGGUGAAUUCUGCCAGGGUUAGAGGUGAAUCCUAUCAGGGUUAGAGGUGAAUUCUGUCAGGGUUAGAGGUGAAUUCUGCCAGGGUUAGAGGUGAAAUCUGUCAGGGUUAGUGGUGAAAUCGGUCAGGGUUAGAGGUGAAUUCUACCAGGGUUAGAGGUACAUUCUGUCAGGGUUAGAGGUGAAAUCUGUCAGGGUUAGAGGUGAAUUCUGCCAGGGUUAGAGGUGAAUUCUGCCAGGGUUAGAGGUGAAAUCUGCCAGGGUUAGAGGUGAAUUCUGCCAGGGUUAGAGGUGAAUUCUGCCAGGGUUAGAGGUGAAUUCUGUCAGGGUUAGAGGCAGUAAAGGAGUCAUUAUAAGACCGAACUGUUGGCUAAGAUGCAUGCAUAUAUAAGCGAGGCUACAGUACCAGAGAUCAUGCUUCUGACAUGGAUGGAUGCCUCCCAGGCAUUAUCUUAUCAGCCACCACCUGACCGUGCCAUUAAGCAUUCACAUGACUGGCUAUAGAACAACAACAGUAGAAGUUGAGAAGGUGCCUGUGUCGGGGUGAACCAACUAGAAAAUAGUUCUCUCUUUAUCUCCAAUGAGAGAAACUAAGGCUCUGGUCCAACAUCCAGACUAGCACACUGCUUUGAAGCUAUUAUAGUUGGUGUAUGCCUUAGCACGCUAGUGUCGAUGUUUGGAACAUAGCUGAUGUAGUUGAUUGGUUUGGAAUACACCUCAUCAUAGACAUGAGCUGAAUGGCCCACCUAAACCACCUAGCCCACACAGGAGUGAGAUACUGCGCAACAAAGACUGAUGAGUAUUGAUACAGAGAGAGGGACACAACCCUCUAAAAUCUGACCAGGGAUCAGUGUUGUCUUACCCUUUGGUCUGGUCUGAGGAGCAUGCAUGCCUGAGGGGUGGGCUUCAAGGGAGAGGUUUUUAAAGGGAUCAACAGGUAGAAAACAUACAAUAUCCCUGUUAACCUGACCCUGUGUGAAGAAGUGUAUAAAGUAUCUUGCGAAUGCCAUGAGGGAAUGCUAGAGAGAGAGAACGAGAGAGUGCCCAUUCCAGAACUCAGAUUGUGAAAAUAAAGAGCCUUCCUUCUUGUCAGUCUGUUUCUCCCUAUCAUACAAGACCAUAUUGACUUUAUUAAAGAAAGAGUGACUUCCUUUUCUUUCUUGUAAAGUGGGCUUAUUGCAGAGAGAAUCAUGAAUCAGGGGAAUGUGGUAGAGUGGCAUGGAUGUACUUCAAUGAAGGAUGAAAUAAGUGUCACAUACAUGUGAAGCCUGAGUUCUUCUCUUGUCGUAACCUAGUCAGUCACUUUCUUUUCAGGAGAACAUACUGUGAAUGAAAACGAGGGAAGAACGAGUACCAUGUAACAACCUGGACAAGAGGGCAAAGUGAGAGAGCUGAUGUUUUGGUGAAACGUUUGUAGGUUUUUCCAUCCAUGUCAAGUCAUCCAUUUUGGGAUCUGGGUAGCCCCACAGGAGUAGAGGUGGACAUGAAGUCUUUGCAGUGCCUCGGAAAGAGGGUUGAGUUGAGCUGUGGUCAGUAUGGUGGGGACGUGAGGUGAGGAGGGGACAGCAAAGACCCCGGGCACACAGUACAUUCAUCAGAAGCUCAGAGACAGUCUCCCAUAGCAUCAGAUGAGAGCCUGACAAACAAGAACUGAAAUUACCCUGAAACAAAAGUCCUGAAUGUUGGAGAGCUGCAGCAGUUCUUCACUCAUUCAUCUGGAAGUUUACUGAUUACAAACAAAUAAACAAAUAAAGCAGGAGAAUAAAUAAAUAUUACUGAUACCAGAACACAGAAUCUGGUAAAAAAUGUACAAAAAACCCAACUUUGUUAAAAGUUCAUAUCUAUACUUGCAGGUUUAGGAACAUGCAUAGAUAGAUACAAUAUGUUUAACGUUGUUGUUGAGUGAAACUGGUUUGGUUUUGUUGUCAAGUAGUAGUCAUACGCUCUCAUUUCUUCUUCUUUUACCACGGAGGAACUGAGACAGAGAGGAACUGAGACAGAGAGGAACUGAGACAGAGAGGAACUGAGACAGAGAGGAACUGAGACAGAGAGGAACUGAGACAG